AUACCUGCCUGGCAGGGGAGAUCCCAUGAUCACGAAGUCGGUUUUCCUGGCGAAGCUUGUCCAUUGCACUCCAGAUGCGCUGACCCCUGCGAUUUCCCACAAUGUGGGAAAUUCAACUGCAUAAUUUGUGGUAGAGGGGAACUGUGUUUGAGCUCUUCCUGG